GACGGAGGGUGCAAGCGUUGUUCGGAUUGACUGGGCGUAAAGGGCGUGUAGGCGGUCGAUUAAGUCUGAUGUGAAAGCCCGGGGCUCAGCUCCGGAAGUGCAUUGGAAACUGGCCGACUCGAGCGCGAUAGAGGAGGGUAGAAUUCCUGGUGUAGCGGUGAAAUGCGUAGAUAUCAGGAGGAAUACCGGCGGCGAAGGCGGCCCUCUGGAUCGUUGCUGACGCUGAGACGCGACAGCGUGGGGAGCAAAC
rnacentral:rRNA from 1 species